AGCAGUCGCCGCGGGAAUACAGAGGGUGCGAGCGUUAAUCGGAUUUACUGGGCGUAAAGCGUGCGUAGGCGGCUUCUUAAGUCGGAUGUGAAAUCCCUGAGCUUAACUUAGGAAUUGCAUUCGAUACUGGGAAGCUAGAGUAUGGGAGAGGAUGGUAGAAUUCCAGGUGUAGCGGUGAAAUGCGUAGAGAUCUGGAGGAAUACCGAUGGCGAAGGCAGCCAUCUGGCCUAAUACUGACGCUGAGGUACGAAAGCAUGGGGAGCAAACAGGAUUAGAGACCCCCGUAGUCCCUGUCUCUUAUAC
rnacentral:rRNA from 1 species